AGGGAAAACCCAUCUACUUUCACGUCUAAGGUGGUUUCCUUCUAAAUCAUCCGAAAUACAAUAGUUAAAUAAAAACAAUGUACAACGAUUUUCAUUUACUUUGUUUAAAGAAAGACAAAACCAAAUCUUUAUAAAUUAAAACCCUCCUCUUUCCAGUAUGUUCCUACUCUUACCCUGUGGUAUAAUAUCGCUGCACCACUAAAAUAAGUCAAAUCAGUCUCCUGUAUGUAUGCAUGUUCAUCAAGGGAUUCCGCUUCCGGAAGGUAAACGACAACGACCGGUACAUUUUAUCGUACUUGGACUUGGAUUGACGCUAACCUACAGAUUUGACUUAACAACGUAAGGAUCUGUACCUUUACACCUAGUCAAAAUCAAGACUUCUUAGACGUAUGAAGACCAGGAUACAUUAAGGUUAAAUAAAUCUGUUCGUACGGUUUUCACAACUUUGGGUUCAAUCCCAAGUUUAAGCACCCCAACACGAACGACGAUUUGACUAGGACCUGAAAGACAACCGAUAUAAUAUUAAUCGUUUACCUUCGCCUCUCUAUUUCGUAUUUAUGAACUAUUUGAAAAAAACAACCCCGCCCCCUACCAAAUCAGGUAUCAAUUUUUUCCGCGCGGAUUCGCUCGCGAAUUCGCGAGGAUCCGAGAUCCGCAACUGUUUUGCGUAACGCGUAUUGAUGCGAAUUAGACACGUAUUGACGCGUAUCCAACGUUUUGCGUGUUAAUUGCGGAUCGCGAAAAAACUUGAUACCAAAUCCGUGAAGUACGUAACAACCACAACGUCUGAAAACGUGACGAUGAUUUACAGGAUAUACAAUAAGAAAUCAUCCCUAUAACCGUAUCUCUAUGGCGUUAUUAUUUUUGCUCUUAGGAGUAAUGAGUGUAUAUAUAAUGAUACAGGAAAACAAAGGUAACUUUGGAUAAAACAAAUAAGAAAAUCAAGGUUCCGUUUUAAGAGACUAAAAAUCAUUAAGUGUAAAUUGUUCUGUACACUUACCUCCUACCCUCCGUAAAUCUACGUUCAGUCUUUGAAGAAGACGAUCGAAUAAAAUUCAAAUAAUAAAGGAACGAGGGGAAAAGUAACAUCUCUUACUUUUCGUAGAAAGUGCGACGGUUGCCCUAGACCUGGUUCUCCUAGUCCUCCUGCUUAUGUCACCUGUGAUGAUGAGUCGUUCUAUGUCAAGUUUGGGACAUAGGAGGACUAACUAGAGGGAAGCGGGGACAAAUUCUUAGUACAAAGUGGGUAAGUCACAACAGAAGUCUUAAUAUCUGUGGAGUAAGAUAUUCCUCCGGCGGUGGUUCUUCUCGCUCCAACACAGUUACCUGAGUCGCUGUUCAACAUCUUUCUUUGUUCCGAAUACAAUCCGUUUCAACUAAUCCAACAUGAUGUGUGGCUCACGGAGGUAUUCUUAGAUCUAUUUUACGGUAUUUUCUGACAAGAUCUAUUCUACUACCGAUAGUUACACUCGCUGACUCGAAAAUACAGGUCUUUUACGAGUGAUUAUUUUAGACCUUACAGAAUACAAAGAGUAGAAAAGAGAAGUAAACAUACCAAUUUCAAACCGAAGUUUGGUUGUUUAUCAAUUAUAAUUUAAUUCGAUAAAAGGGCGAGGGGAGAAGUCAACCGUUUGGGUAGUUCCUUAACAACAUUACUUAUAUAAAAUAUACCAAUGUAGGUGUUGUCCUUCUCUAGAAUUUACG
rnacentral:rRNA from 1 species